rnacentral:lncRNA from 1 species
GUUUGGCACAUACGCAUGCAAUAAAUGUCACUUGUUAUUUUUAUUUUGCGUUUUCCAAUCACUUUAUUUUGACUUCAAUGUGGGAGAGGUGAUUAUCCAAAGAUGUGAAUUAUCCAAGGAUUGUGAUAGUCAGAAGCAGAGGAAAUAUUAGAUUUUUCUGAGUGGGAGUAGGGUUAAAGAGUCCUACCACUUGAACCAGCCCAAAGCAAGAAGCAAAUGUCCAGAAGCCUUCUCUGCUCCACAUCUGUUUUUAUUUUUCAGUUUAUCAGCCUGCUGUUUCAUGACAGGAUUUUGCAAUAUUCAGCUCCCCUGGUGACUUAUAGGAUAUCAAGGGAAGAGAGAAGAAAGAAAAGCUUUUAGCCAACUUCAGUUUUUCCUUCCUUGAAACUGAAGAUAAGCUCUGGCUGGACACCACGAGGUUGGUUGAAAAGGCCAAUUCAUGCAUCUCCCUAUUAUCAGCUCCAGAGGGGAACGCUGGCUUUACCAGCGCCCAGCACUGUCGAUAGUCCUUGUCCCACAGGGUCAGGAUGGUGGUGUGUAAAGAUAAGACAAGCUUGUAGCUAAGGACUGCCCAGAUAGAGUGCAGUCUUUCUCUCCUAGGGAGCAGGUGUGGGCAUCUUUGGCAGAUGAUGUCUGUGUCAUCACAUCCAAGUUGGGAUUUGAUGAGAACAUGAGGGGGCGUGAGUAGAGGAACAUAGCUGUUGGGUUUAUCUCCAGCUGCGCUUUCAUAAGCUACAAGCGGGGAAUGACCUCCAGCCUUUGAGUUCUUAUAAGAAUUCAUACAAACCCCAGCAAAAGCUUACCUAACAGUCAACCAGCUCUCAUUAGGGAUGAACAGCCCAUUUUCAAGGUGGUAUUGGGAUCUUGAGUCAGGCUUGGAAGAUAAUGCUCAUCUUUCAUAACUUUCAUGAGUGAUUGCAAAUUGCUGACGACUCUCUCCCACACUGAGAGAGAUCAACUCCAGAUGUUUACCUUCUCCUGGAGGAGACCGAAGCAGUGUCUCUUCUACCAGAAAAGUCACCAGAGUGAAAUAAGGAGUGACUCCAGCAGCUGUUCUCCUCAUCCCUCUCUGGAAUUCAAAGCACGUGCUCAUGCAGAGGGAGCCUGCACAGGCAGAAACAUUGAAAUCUGAAUCAGAAGGCAGAUACAGGCCAUGGUAGAGCAGCAAUAGCUGUAAGUAUUUCUUGUCCAGAUAUUCAUAUGGGCAACCUUACGUGAACUAAGAAAGCUGUAA